rnacentral:rRNA from 1 species
GGAAAACUCACCAGGUCCAGACGUAGGCAUGAUUGACAGAUUGAUUGUUCUUUCUUGAUUCUACGGGUGGUGGUGCAUGGCCGUUCUUAGUUGGUGGAGUGAUUUGUCUGGUUAAUUCCGUUAACGAACGAGACCUCAGCCUGCUAACUAGUUUGUAUUCUCACAGAGUGCAAUACUUCUUAGAGGGACUAUAUGUGUCAAGCAUAUGGAAGUUUGAGGCAAUAA